GGAGGAGCAUAGUAUCACUUGGAUACUUAGAGGAAAAAGACUACACUUUCAAAAGUAAUUCAAGGGUUUUGAAUAUCUCUAAGGGUGAUAGGAUUGUGAUGAGAGGGAGGAGGUUGAGGAGUUGUUUGUACCAGUUGGAGAGAUAUAUUGUGUCCAAAGAGGUCGAGAUGAUUGCUUCAGCUAUGGAGGAUCAGUCAGAGGUCCAGUCGAUGCAGAUUAGAUAGUUGAUGAUAUGCUUAUCGAAUCUGCCAGUUGUGGGAUCGUCGGAUCACAGGGAGGUGAAGCACAGAGGAUUGGUGUGUCCACACAUGGAGAAGGAGG
rnacentral:lncRNA from 1 species